GUGAAAAUUAACAAAGGAAAACCUCACUAAGAUGGAGUCAGGAAGCCAGAAGGGGGAGCUCUCAGGCAGUACCACCUGAUGUCAAUUACAGGAAGCAUUGUCAAUUACAGACCCCAACAGAAGAAUCAUCAACAGGAAAGAAUCAUCCAUCACAGAUCCCAACAGGAAAAGAUGUACAUGGUGUCUCCUACAAGAAAUUGACUACCCCAGUAACUCAGCCGAACCUGUUUUUAUUCCUGAAGUUGUUAUUCAUGAAUUCUCCUUUUACUACCAGUAGUGUGAGGUGUUUUACCCCAGUUUCACCUAAUUUAAGCUCCAUUGACAGGGUGCUACUGAGUGAAAGAGUAACAGCUCUAGCUAAUAGUCAUUUGAUAAGUUUGAGUUUAUUAUAGUUCUGGCAGGAGAGAAAUGGCACUCUCAAACUGGGCAAUCUGCAGAGAGCUGAGUAAAACAAUUAUUUUUAAAGUUAUCUGUGGUGUUCAAGGAAAUAGCAAGGGGGAGUGUAGGACCCUGGGGUAGUAACUGCAGGAGAUUAUUACCACCAAGGACCUGGAGAAGAGAAUGGUUCCCAGGCUGUAUUGUGAGUAGCUAUAGGGGAAGGACUCCCAGACAGAUGCUGAUACCAACAACUCAGGAAUGAAGCCAAGGAAAAAUACCCUGACCUCACUUUCCUCUGGUCCUCCAACCUCUUUUGAGAGCCUCCUGUUGACUGAACCAAAUCAGGUGCUGACAGGCAAAGGAGUAGUUAGUCUUUAUAUAUCAGCAACCUGGGAGGGCAAACGCAAGAUAUUCAACACAUUUUGGAUAGCCAUUUUGUUACACUUCCCAGCAGUGUCAUUGGCUUAGUAGGUAGGUGGGUACUUAGUGAGGCUACAAAACUGGAGGACCUUGUUAAGCAAAGAUGAAACAUUUGACAAGUAUAUUGUCUCCCCUGCCUACUCAGGCUGAUUUCUAGAUGAAGAGGUUGGAAGACGGAAUGCUAGUGGUAUCUUUUGGUGUUUUCUGGUUACAUUUAGCAAGGAAUAGAACUAGGAGUUAAGCUCAGGCUGAUAUAGGUUAGUUUGCAGUAAAAAUGGAAAGAAAAGGAGAAGAGAGAAUCCAGAAAUUUGGAGCCUUUUGGAUUGAAAACUCAAAUGGUUUUAGACUCCAAAUAUGAAAAGCAUAUCCUACCCAGUGUGACACAGUUUGAAAACAUGGGUCUCAGCAUAUUACAGGAACCGUGAUCAUCUUUGAAAAUGUAUCCAAAGG